GUGGAUUAUCUACACCCGGAGUUGAUUGUCGAGAUGAUCCUGUUGGUCGAGGUGCAUCAGGAAGUGGGCAGGUUACAUCUUUACAUUCGUAUCUGCAAAACGAUCUUAUCUUUUCGUAAAGGUACCAUUUCCUUUCAGUUGACAUACCCUUUGGUGGUAAUAUAUUAGGUAGUUCAUCUUCCAUUAUUUGAGCGUACUCCUUCAGCAAAUUGAAUUUUGUGACUGGGCCAUCUGCAGCUUGUCUGGCUGCAACUACACCAGCAAAGUAACUACACCAGUCAAGUGUUUCUACAAUGAGUUCACCAUUGCUACUUCCUACUGGUUGGGCUUUGUUCACAGCAGAUGAUUGUUCUACAACUUGAAUGAAGUCAUCCAAUGAGUCCACCUCUGCUUUACGGAAUUUUUGCUUUAAUAGUCCAAAGCACCAGUCUGGAGAAGAUUUUGUGUGUCCAACUGGCUCAAACGAUAUUGAAAUGGACGCAUUGAGUCCUGCCAUGACUCUCCAUAAGAGUUGUCAGCAUUGAAAUGGAUACUGACUGAGUUGAGGCCAUGAUUCUUCAAAUAAAAAUGUACCAUGCUUAUGACAGGAUUUGCCCCUUUACCAGUGUCGAAUGAUUCAUCAAUCAAGAAAUUAACCUGCUGAGCGAUAGCUUCACAGCACACACCAAAUAUGCCACAUUUCCUGGGAGUAAGAAAAUAAAUUGGACCUGCUUGUAGUGGACUUGAAUGAUAGU